CCUACGGGAGGCAGCAGUGGGGAAUAUUGCACAAUGGGGGAAACCCUGAUGCAGCGACGCCGCGUGAGUGAAGAAGUAUUUCGGUAUGUAAAGCUCUAUCAGCAGGGAAGAAGAAAGACGGUACCUGACUAAGAAGCCUCUGCUAACUACGUGCCAGCAGCCGCGGUCAUACGUAGGGGGCAAGCGUUAUCCGGAUUUACUGGGUGUAAAGGGAGCGUAGACGGCUGUGCAAGUCUGAAGUGAAAGCCCAGGGCUCAACCCUGGGACUGCUUUGGAAACUGUGGAGCUAGAGUGCUGGAGAGGUAAGUGGAAUUCCUAGUGUAGCGGUGAAAUGCGUAGAUAUUAGGAGGAACACCAGUGGCGAAGGCGGCUUACUGGACAGUAACUGACGUUGAGGCUCGAAAGCGUGGGGAGCAAACAGGAUUAGAUACCCCAGUAGUC
rnacentral:rRNA from 1 species